UGGGGCUCAUUAGGCAGAGCGGGGUGCCGAGAGGUGCGCGCUGCCGGCUCGGAGGCCGCCUUUGAGCGGUCGGGGCGGCUUCAUUAAGCGGCGCUAACAAGGCAUACAAAUGCCGGGCCCAGCAGCUUUUUUUUUUGCAAUGCCGAGGCCUUAGCAGGGCGCCAGGCUAAUGAGGGUCACUCAAAGGGGCUGAUCAAAUAUUCAAAUUUCCCCGCACGCCGGGAACUUUUAUGUGCGGAGAAAGUUGAGGCAACUGAGCUGUGUUUACUGUCCCG
rfam:Camelus ferus unplaced genomic scaffold scaffold843, whole genome shotgun sequence.